CACGACUCGGAACAUACGGGUUUGUGUUCUACUCGCUUGGAUGCCGCGAGCAAACAACUCUGAGACGGUGAAAGUCCAUAUUCUAUAAGUGAACGUUUAUAAGGUCAUGGGCACUGUACAUACUUCCAGGAGUCUGAUACAGCAGUCACCCUAGGAGACUAGUCGAGCAUGCUCAGAACUGGCACAAAAUUUCUGGCCGUUGUGAUUUCUGUUCUUGCAAUGACAAACGUUGAAGGUCAUGAAAGACUCGAAUAUAGGCUCAAGGGAUCACAAGAACAGUUGGAAUCGUGGGCCAUGAAUAUGUUCGGUUUGUUUUGACGAUGUCUGUAAUGUCUGAUAGACUACAAUACAUUACAGUACAACAGCACUAUUCUAUGUCAUUUGAUGUCAACUGAUUGUUUAUGGUGUAUAGAAAGUAGUGAUCUGCUCAAUGUUAUUACAUUGGCUAGGUUAUAUAUGACUGUUAUUGUAACUCGUUAUUAUGGAAUUAAUAAUGAGAUAUGAUAGUACAAUGUUUUAACAAUGUCUUGUAUGAUUGCCCAGCUGCAGAUCUAUUGUAGAGCUUAAUAUUCUUGGACAUCUAGUCUAGGAUUUUGAGACACACUAAUUGAUUUCUGAAAUGGUCAUUGCAAAUGUUGAUUGAAAACCAUUUAAUUAAACAUUCUUGGACUGUUCUUUCUAUAGUGAUCAUUUGUGAUUUUAUAAAAUUAAAUUUAGUUUUCUUUUCAACUUUUCUUUUUAUGUGACAGCAAAAGAUGAAUGAUUUCAUCUAUAAUCCAUAAGCAACAGGACAUUGUAAGAGUCACGUGACUUAGCAAGUAACACACUUGCUGGAAUGGCUAUCGGUUUGCGACUAUGUGUGUGGAUCCAAUGUGUUGUCGACUAUUUCUCUCAUACUUAGGAAUGUGCCAUGCUCUUAAUGCAGUUUAUCACCGAGCAGUAUUUGCGAUUUGUUGUAUAUAGCAGCACUGAUAAUGGACGGACCAGUGGUUUUUUCCUGGAACGGUCUAAUUCAUGUUUGCAAUUGCCAGGUCUUGUCGGAAAUAUAUAACAAAACUUUAAUACCUGUUUGAUCAAUCGCUUUCACGGCUUACGAUAGUUAAAUGAGAACCUGACAUCGCAUAACCAGAGACGACAUUAAAUAUCGUUUGUCAUUGUUGUUUUUGAACUGUUGUAGGUGUGAAAGUAAAUUCUGUAAACAUAGCUUCAAUUACUAGUGUUAAUCAGACUAGAGUCAGGCUAUCAAAAAGUGCAAUGGGCCAAGCUGACCUGUUAAUUGCUAUCUCACUGUAGCUAAUUUCCGAAUAAGCAGAGAUACUGUUCUUGUUGUCCCAAUGCAGUUGACGACUAGUGCUUGUAUGAAAGAGCUAUUGCUUGCAAUGCUUCUUACUAAGCAAUUAAACAGUAGCUUCUGCAUUUGAUUGUUUUCCUUGCAUUUUUGUUUACAGCACUGUGUCAUUGUCUAGAUGGAUGUAUUGGUUGUGGCAGUCAUUCACUAGUUUGUGCGCUUGCUUGUUUGGGUAUCUGCGUCAUUACUUUCUUGCUCGCUUGUCUUUCAUUGUAGUAAGAAACCAAAAUGACUACAUUACAUUGUACAUUUGUCUCAAUGUUGUUUCAAUUUAAGUCUACAUUUUAACAUUGUAUGUUUAUUAUUGAAGACAUUUGGCUGGUGAGAUAAGUCGGGAGGAUGCCGAUCGAACUACUGCAUCUGCAACAGCUGCGGUUGACGACUUAGUGUUGUUAGCUCUGCAGAUUGUACCGUACAAUAUGAAUCGUAACGCUGAAGCAUGUGAUCUGCUGAUGGAAAUAGAGAGACUAGACUUGCUGGACAAAUAUAUGGAUGAAGCUUCGUAUCCAAAAGUGUGCUUGUGCUUGACAAGGUGUGAUGCUAGUUAUUGUGUUGUGGUGUGGUGCUAGCCAAUUGGUGAAAGUGUUUUUGCAUUGUUAUGCAUGUAGUUGCUUUUCUCUUUGUGUAAACUGGUUGCUUAUUUGGCGGUCUGCUCGUUUACAUGACCGUUUAUUGUACGUGUGUGUGUGUGUGUGUGUGUGUGUGUGUGUGUGUGUGUGUUUGUCUGUUUGCUUGUCUGUCUGCCGUGUGCAUGUGUGUUU